rnacentral:lncRNA from 1 species
CCUUUUGAUGGAUUUAAAAUCGAUACUAUAGUGAAGCUGAGUUUAACAGAGUUUUAACAUGACAAACAAUGAAUUCAACUAUGCAACAUUUAGUCAAGAAAUUAAAAACGGUGGUGCCCAUGAGAUACGCCAUGAUUUAGAUUUGAAGUUUGGACUGUGGAUUUACGGAGAAAAGAACAAUGAAGGUUAUGGAUUUCCAGGUGGAAUGGCUUACAUAAGUCAACCUUAACACUUAGACAAUUAAAAACUGUGUAACUGUAUUUACAUCUGUGUCUGAGAAUCAACAAGUUUGUUACAGCAACA